rnacentral:rRNA from 1 species
AUGCAGAUACAAAAUAUCAAGAUUAGUGCUAACAACGCCGAGGAACUGGCGGGAUAUGAGGACGCGAAUACGAAAGAGUGUUGGCGUCAGGCUAUGGAAGGGGAGUUGAGGUCGAUCCACGACAACAAUGCAAGGGAGCUUGUGGAUCUUCCCAACAAUGAAAAAGCCAUGGAUCUCAAGUGGGAAUUUAUGAUCAAGAAAGAUGCCGAAGGGUCCGUGAAGCACAAAGCGAGGCUAGUAGCCAAAGAGUAUGUGCAAGAGAAAGGUGUGAACUUCGAAGAAGUGUUCAUUCCCAUUGCAAGGAUGGAAUCGGUGAGAUUACUCAUCGCUCUCGCGGUUCAGGAAUCAUGGAAGAUACAUCACUUGGAUGUAAAAUCCACUUUUUUGAACGGAGAGUUACAAGGAGACGUUUAUGUGAACAACCACCGGGAUUCAUCAAACAGGAAGAAGAGCACAAGGUACUGA